UCACCUCAUGAGCGAGGGGCGGUCUUGC
rnacentral:sRNA from 1 species